rnacentral:tRNA from 1 species
GUGAUUUAAGAAAAGAGAUAACUUUUAAAUUUGUAUGUGUAGUUUCAUGUUCUAGUUCUUAUAUCACUAAAUUCUU